rnacentral:rRNA from 1 species
UGAAUACGAGACGCUAAGGCGUCGAAGUAGUGUAUGUCAUACUUCCAAGAAAAGCUUGCACUGUCAUAGAUAAAAAACGCCUGUACCAUAACCGACACAGGUGGGUAGGUAGAGUAUACUAAGGGGCGCGAGAUAACUCUCUCUAAGGAACUCGGCAAAAUAACUCCGUAACUUCGGGAGAAGGAGUGCCUUAUUCUUAAGGUUGCAAUAACAAGAUCCAAGCAACUGUUUAUCAAAAACACAGGUCUCCGCUAAGUCGUAAGACGAUGUAUGGGGGCUGACGCCUGCCCAGUGCCAGAAGGUUAAAGAAGCUGGUUAGCAUUUGCGAAGCUAGUAACUGAAGCCCUGGUGAACGGCGGCCGUAACCAUAACGGUCCUAAGGUAGCGAAAUUCCUUGUCGGGUAAGUUCCGACCCGCACGAAAGGCGUAAUGAUUUGGAUACUGUCUCGGAGAGGGGCUCGGUGAAAUAGACUUGUCUGUGAAGAUGCGGACUACCUGCACCAGGACAGAAAGACCCUAUGAAGCUUUACUGUAACUUGAAAUUGAAAUUGGACUUUAUUCGCGCAGUAUAGGUGGGAGGCGUUGAUUAUAAUCUUGCGGGAUUAUUGGAGCCAUUAGUGAGAUACCACUCUUGUAAUGUUAGAUUUCUAACUUUGAAUCAUUAUCUGGUCAAAGAACAGUUUCAGGCGGGCAGUUUGACUGGGGCGGUCGCCUCCCAAACGGUAACGGAGGCGUACAAAGGUUUCCUCUGAACGGUUAGAAAUCGUAUCUAGAGUGUAAAGGCAUAAGGAAGCUUGACUGUGAGACCUACAAGUCGAGCAGGGACGAAAGUCGGUCUUAGUGAUCUGACGGUACUGAGUGGAAAGGCCGUCACUCAACGGAUAAAAGUUACUCUAGGAUAACAGGCUGAUCUCCCCCAAGAGUUCACAUCGACGGGGAGGUUUGGCACCUCGAUGUCGGCUCAUCGCAUCCUGGGGCGGUAGUACGUCCCAAGGGUUGGGCUGUUCGCCCAUGAAAGCGGUACGCGAGCUGGGUUCAGAACGUCGUGAGACAGUUCGGUCCAUAUCCGGUGUAGGCGUUAGAAUAUUGAGAGGAGCCUUCUUUAGUACGAGAGGACCGAGAAGGACAUGCCUCUGGUGUACCAGUUAUCGUGCCAACGGUAGACGCUGGGUAGCUAUGUAUGGAGUGGAUAACCGCUGAAAGCAUCUAAGUGGGAAGCCCACCUCAAGAUAAGUAUUCUCAUG